rnacentral:rRNA from 1 species
GUCGAACGCUUCAGCAAUGAAGAGUGGCAGACGGGUGAGUAACGCGUGGGAACCUUCCCAGUGGUACGGAAUAGCCCAGGGAAACUUGGGGUAAUACCGUAUAAGCCCUUAGGGGGAAAGAUUUAUCGCCAUUGGAUGGGCCCGCGUCGGAUUAGCUUGUUGGUGAGGUAAAAGCUCACCAAGGCGACGAUCCGUAGCUGGUCUGAGAGGAUGAUCAGCCACACUGGGACUGAGACACGGCCCAGACUCCUACGGGAGGCAGCAGUGGGGAAUAUUGGACAAUGGGCGCAAGCCUGAUCCAGCCAUGCCGCGUGAGUGACGAAGGCCUUAGGGUUGUAAAGCUCUUUUGGCGGGGACGAUAAUGACGGUACCCGCAGAAUAAGCUCCGGCUAACUUCGUGCCAGCAGCCGCGGUAAUACGAAGGGAGCUAGCGUUGUUCGGAAUUACUGGGCGUAAAGCGCACGUAGGCGGACUUGUUAGUCAGGGGUGAAAUCCCGGGGCCCAACCUCGGAACUGCCUUUGAUACUGCAAGUCUGGAGUCCGGAAGAGGUGGGUGGAAUUCCUAGUGUAGAGGUGAAAUUCGUAGAUAUUAGGAAGAACACCGGUGGCGAAGG